UGCGCAGGCGGUUAUGUAAGUCAGAUGUGAAAUCCCCGGGCUUAACCUGGGAAUGGCAUUUGAGACUACAUGGCUAGAGUGUGUCAGAGGGGGGUAGAAUUCCACGUGUAGCAGUGAAAUGCGUAGAGAUGUGGAGGAAUACCGAUGGCGAAGGCAGCCCCCUGGGAUAACACUGACGCUCAUGCACGAAAGCGUGGGGAGCAAACAGGAUUAGAUACCCUGGUAGUCCACGCCCUAAACGAUGUCUACUAGUUGUCGGGACUUAAUUGUCUUGGUAACGCAGCUAACGCGUGAAGUAGACCGCCUGGGGAGUACGGUCGCAAGAUUAAA
rnacentral:rRNA from 1 species